GACGAACCGUGCGAACGUUGUUCGGAUUCACUGGGCUUAAAGGGCGCGUAGGCGGUCGGCCAAGUCUGAGGUGAAAUCUUUCGGCUCAACCGGAAAAGUGCCCCCGAUACUGGCCGGCUAGAGGGAGACAGGGGCAUGCGGAACUUCCGGUGGAGCGGUGAAAUGCGUAGAUAUCUACAGGAACUCCGGUGGCGAAAGCGGCGUGCUGGACCUUUUCUGACGCUGAGGCGCGAAAGCUAGGGGAGCAAACGGG
rnacentral:rRNA from 1 species